rnacentral:rRNA from 1 species
UACGGAGGAUCCAAGCGUUAUCCGGAAUCAUUGGGUUUAAAGGGUCCGUAGGCGGUUUGGUAAGUCAGUGGUGAAAGCCCAUCGCUCAACGGUGGAACGGCCAUUGAUACUGCCAGACUUGAAUUAUUAGGAAGUAACUAGAAUAUGUAGUGUAGCGGUGAAAUGCUUAGAGAUUACAUGGAAUACCAAUUGCGAAGGCAGCUUACUACGCAGAUAUUGACGCUCAUGCACGAAAGCGUGGGGAUCAAACAGG